rnacentral:tRNA from 1 species
AAUGAAUUGCCUGAUUAAAGGAUUACUUUGAUAGAGUAAAUCAUGUAAAUUUUUACAUUCAUUA